rnacentral:rRNA from 1 species
CAGCAGCCGCGGUAAUACGAAGGGUGCAAGCGUUACUCGGAAUUACUGGGCGUAAAGCGUGCGUAGGUGGUGGUUUAAGUCCGUUGUGAAAGCCCUGGGCUCAACCUGGGAAUUGCAGUGGAUACUGGGUCACUAGAGUGUGGUAGAGGAUAGUGGAAUUUCCGGUGUAGCAGUGAAAUGCGUAGAGAUCGGAAGGAGCAUCUGUGGCGAAGGCGGCCAUCUGGGACAACACUGACGCUGAGGCACGAAAGCGUGGGGAGCAAACAGGAUUAGAUACCCCCGUAGUCCCUGUCUCUUAUAC